CGACGGGGACACAGAGGUGAAGCUUGCUUCUGAGGUGACGAGCGGCGGACGGGUGAGUAAUGCCUAGGGAUCUGCCCAGUCGAGGGGGAUAACAGUUGGAAACGACUGCUAAUACCGCAUACGCCCUACGGGGGAAAGGAGGGGACCUUCGGGCCUUCCGCGAUUGGAUGAACCUAGGUGGGAUUAGCUAGUUGGUGAGGUAAUGGCUCACCAAGGCGACGAUCCCUAGCUGUUCUGAGAGGAUGAUCAGCCACACUGGGACUGAGACACGGCCCAGACUCCUACGGGAGGCAGCAGUGGGGAAUAUUGCACAAUGGGGGAAACCCUGAUGCAGCCAUGCCGCGUGUGUGAAGAAGGCCUUCGGGUUGUAAAGCACUUUCAGUAGGGAGGAAAGGUAAUGUUUUAAUAAACUAUUACUGUGACGUUACCUACAGAAGAAGGACCGGCUAACUCCGUGCCAGCAGCCGCGGUAAUACGGAGGGUCCGAGCGUUAAUCGGAAUUACUGGGCGUAAAGCGUGCGCAGGCGGUUUGUUAAGCCAGAUGUGAAAUCCCCGGGCUCAACCUGGGAAUUGCAUUUGGAACUGGCGAACUAGAGUCUUGUAGA
rnacentral:rRNA from 1 species